GCUUUAAGAUUAAGUAAAAGAUAUGAUAGUUAUUUAGUUAAAUUAAAAGAAUUUUAUAAAAAUUAUAAAUAAUAAAAGGUAAAAUUUAAUUGUUAUUUUAUAUUAAAUUAUGAUAAUUGUAAUUGAAGCUAAAAAAUCUAUUUAUAAACUAGGAUUAGAUACCCUAUUAUUAUAGGAAAAAAUAUAAAACUAGAUUAUUAUUAGUUAUUUACUUUAAAAUUAAAAAAUUUGGCGGUGAUUUAAUCUUUUCAGAGGAAUUUGUUUUUUAAUCGAUAACCCACGAAAAAUCUUACUUAUUUUUGUUAAUAUUAAUUAUAUCAGUUUGUAUACCAUCAUUAUCAGAUAAUUCUAUAAAAGAUAAAUUAUUUAUAUUAAAUGAUUAUUAAAAUUAGAUCAUGGUGCAGCUUAUGAAUAAGGUAAAAUGAAUUACAAUAAAUUAUUUUAUUAAAUGAAUUAAUAAAAGAAUUUUUAUUAUGAAGGAGGAUUUGAUAGUAUUAUAAUUUUAAUAAGUUUAUAAGAUAUUAGCUCUAAAUCAUGUACAUAUCGCCCGUCGCUUUCAUUUAUAAAAUGAAAUGAAAUAAGUCGU
rnacentral:rRNA from 1 species